rnacentral:rRNA from 1 species
GUAUGCAACCUACCUACAACAAGGGGAUAACCCGUUGAAAGACGGACUAAUACCCUAUAACACAGGGAUUCCGCAUGGAAAUAUUUGUUAAAGAUUUAUCGGUUGUAGAUGGGCAUGCGUUCCAUUAGGUAGUUGGUAAGGUAACGGCUUACCAAGCCUGCGAUGGAUAGGGGAACUGAGAGGUUUAUCCCCCACACUGGAACUGAGACACGGUCCAGACUCCUACGGGAGGCAGCAGUGAGGAAUAUUGGUCAAUGGAGGCAACUCUGAACCAGCCAAGUCGCGUGAAGGACGACGGCCCUACGGGUUGUAAACUUCUUUUGUACAGGAAUAAAACCAUCCACGUGUGGAUAUUUGCAUGUACUGUACGAAUAAGGAUCGGCUAACUCCGUGCCAGCAGCCGCGGUAAUACGGAGGAUUCGAGCGUCAUCCGGAUUUAUUGGGUUUAAAGGGUGCGCAGGCGGGAUGUUAAGUCGGCGGUGAAAUUUUGCGGCUCAACCGUAAAAGUGCCUUCGAAACUGGCAUUCUUGAGUAUAGAUGAAGUAGGCGGAAUUUGUGGUGUAGCGGUGAAAUGCAUAGAUAUCACGAGGAACUCCGAUUGCGCAGGCAGCUUACUAAACUAUAACUGACGCUCAUGCACGAAGGCGUGGGGAUCAAACAGGAUUAGAUACCCUGGUAGUCCACGCAGUAAACGAUGAUU